rnacentral:rRNA from 1 species
GACGAACGCUGGCGGCGUGCUUAACACAUGCAAGUCGAACGGAAAGGCCCUGCUUUUGUGGGGUGCUCGAGUGGCGAACGGGUGAGCAACACGUGAGUAACCUGCCCUUGACUUUGGGAUAACUUCAGGAAACUGGGGCUAAUACCGGAUAGGAGCUCCUGCUGCAUGGUGGGGGUUGGAAAGUUUCGGCGGUUGGGGAUGGACUCGCGGCUUAUCAGCUUGUUGGUGGGGUAGUGGCUUACCAAGGCUUUGACGGGUAGCCGGCCUGAGAGGGUGACCGGCCACAUUGGGACUGAGAUACGGCCCAGACUCCUACGGGAGGCAGCAGUGGGGAAUAUUGCACAAUGGGCGGAAGCCUGAUGCAGCAACGCCGCGUGCGGGAUGACGGCCUUCGGGUUGUAAACCGCUUUCGCCUGUGACGAAGCGUGAGUGACGGUAAUGGGUAAAGAAGCACCGGCUAACUACGUGCCAGCAGCCGCGGUGAUACGUAGGGUGCGAGCGUUGUCCGGAUUUAUUGGGCGUAAAGGGCUCGUAGGUGGUUGAUCGCGUCGGAAGUGUAAUCUUGGGGCUUAACCCUGAGCGUGCUUUCGAUACGGGUUGACUUGAGGAAGGUAGGGGAGAAUGGAAUUCCUGGUGGAGCGGUGGAAUGCGCAGAUAUCAGGAGGAACACCAGUGGCGAAGGCGGUUCUCUGGGCCUUUCCUGACGCUGAGGAGCGAGAGCGUGGGGAGCGAACAGGCUUAGAUACCCUGGUAGUCCACGCUGUAAACGGUGGGUACUAGGUGUGGGGUCCAUUCCACGGGUUCCGUGCCGUAGCUAACGCUUAAGUACCCCGCCUGGGGAGUACGGCCGCAAGGCUAAAACUCAAAGGAAUUGACGGGGCCCCGCACAAGCGGCGGAGCAUGCGGAUUAAUUCGAUGCAACGCGUAGAACCUUACCUGGGUUUGACAUGGAUCGGGAGUGCUCAGAGAUGGGUGUGCCUCUUUUGGGGUCGGUUCACAGGUGGUGCAUGGCUGUCGUCAGCUCGUGUCGUGAGAUGUUGGGUUAAGUCCCGCAACGAGCGCAACCCUUGUUCACUGUUGCCAGCACGUUAUGGUGGGGACUCAGUGGAGACCGCCGGGGUCAACUCGGAGGAAGGUGGGGAUGACGUCAAGUCAUCAUGCCCCUUAUGUCCAGGGCUUCACGCAUGCUACAAUGGCUGGUACAGAGAGUGGCGAGCCUGUGAGGGUGAGCGAAUCUCGGAAAGCCGGUCUCAGUUCGGAUUGGGGUCUGCAACUCGACCUCAUGAAGUCGGAGUCGCUAGUAAUCGCAGAUCAGCAACGCUACGGUGAAUACGUUCCCGGGGCU